UGGCCUCGGAUUAUACUAUCCCAACAAGGUGU
rnacentral:piRNA from 1 species